CGGGUCGGUCGGAGUGAUCGCUGGUGUUUUUGCUGCAAGGCGGGGAUGCCAGAGGAAAGUCCGGACACCACAGGGCAGCAUGCCACGUGAAAGCGUGGGGGCUGCGGUGCAAGCCGCAGUCACAGAUAGUAUCACAGAAAACAAACCGCCUGCGCGCAAGCGUGGGUAAGGGUGAAACGGCGGGGUAAGAGCCCACCGCCCCAACCGCGAGGAAGGGGGCACGACAAACC
rnacentral:RNase_P_RNA from 1 species